GGCGGAAUAGUUCAAUUGGUAGAACAUUGGAGUCAUAAUCCACCGGUUGGGGGUUCAAGUCCCUCUUCCGCUAC
rnacentral:tRNA from 1 species